CAAUAGCGUAUAUUAAAGUUGUUGCAGUUAAAAAGCUCGUAGUUGGAUUUCUGGCAGGAGCGACCGGUCGCACACUAUGUGUGUGAACUUGCGUUGUCUCUGGCCAUCCUUGGGGAGAUCCCGUUUGGCAUUAAGUUGUCGGGCGGGGGAUACCCAUCGUUUACUGUGAAAAAAUUAGAGUGUUUAAAGCAGGCUUAUGCCGUUGAAUAUAUUAGCAUGGAAUAAUAAGAUAGGACUUCGGAACUAUUUUGUUGGUUUGCGUUACGAAGUAAUGAUUAAUAGGGACAGUUGGGGGUAUUCGUAUUUCGUUGUCAGAGGUGAAAUUCUUGGAUUUCCGAAAGACGAACUACUGCGAAAGCAUUUACCAAGGAUGUUUUCAUUA
rnacentral:rRNA from 1 species